ensembl:snoRNA
UUGCCCUUAAAGAAAGCAUUCUACCUAAAGAAUUAUCUUUCUAUGGUCUGUUGGCCAUUUCAGAACUUUGGAAAUGUAAUGGUCAAUUCAUUAGAAAGAAACAUCU